rnacentral:rRNA from 1 species
AGUCGAGGGUUGGUAGCAAUACCGGCCCGGCAGACGGGUGCGUAACACAUUGGUAACCUACCUCUACCUCGGGCAUAACCCUGCGAAAGCGGGGACAAUUCCCGAUAGUUAUGCGGGGACAUAAGUCAUUCGCAUAUAAAGUUCCGACGGGUAGAGAGGGGCCUAUGGCCCAUCAGCUAGUUGGUAAGGUAACGGCUUACCAAGGCGAUGACGGGUAGCGGGUGUGAGAGCACGACCCGCCUCACUGGGACUGAGACACUGCCCAGACUCCUACGGGAGGCUGCAGUCGAGAAUCUUCCUCAAUGGCCGAAAGGCUGAAGGAGCAAUGCCGCGUGAUCGAAGGAGCCCCUCGGGGUGUAAAGAUCUUUUAUCAGGGACGAAUUUUGACGGUACCUGAUGAAUAAGCCACUGCUAACUUCGUGCCAGCAGCAGCGGUAAUACGAAGGUGGCAAGCGUUAUCCGGAUUGAUUGGGCGUAAAGCGUCCGCAGAUGGUUUGAUAAAGUCGUGGGUCAAAUCUUGAAGCUCAACUUCAAGGCUGCUCACGAAACUAUCAUUCUAGAGACUGGAAGAGGCAAGCGGAAUUACCGGUGUAGCGGUAAAAUGCGUUAAUAUCGGUAAGAACACCAAAAGCGAAAGCAGCUUGCUGGUA